UCCGGCCUCAAAGAUCGUUGUUCGAGUUCGUGGAAAGACAGCAGAGCUAGUUUCUAAUCGACAAAUCAUGGUUAAGAUAGCUGCCUUCGUUCUGGUCGUGCUGUGUGCGGUUAUAUCAACAACACAAGCCAACUGGUAUGGCAAGAGAGGGGAGAAGGAAGGUUUAAUAGCAGACUUUUUGAAUCAACACAUGGGAUUUGCCUCCUCCGACGGGGGCGCUGACUCCGCCCUGAGAGCGAUAGCUGAGGUAGUGAAGGCUUGGGAAGCCAGCAGGGAAGGAGUGCCCAACGUACACGCCCGCCCUUUAAGGGGGUGAGCCUUCAACCCUUUAACAUUAGACCGUCUGAUAAAAAGAGGGUACGACGACACCAAAUUCAUCUAAAAACAACACCAUGACCGUUUGUUUUACAGCUUCUGACGUUCCGUUUUGUUUACAUCCAAAUAAGGAAACAUCUUCACAGGACAUUGAACGUGAUACUCCUUCCGUUCAAGAUGGCUUCGCUCAAACAGAACGGACACUGUCAUCUAUACAACUUGUAUUACUAGUAAAAUGUCUCUCACUCUUAACUUUACCUUACAAACGUUUCUGAUACACAAUGUGCAUUAUUGACCAAGGGUAUUUGAUAUACAAAGCUAUGUUACUGACAAAACAUCUUUGAUGCACUCUCUUUGUUUAGUUUAGAUCAAUGAGUCAACACUGUCAACCAAACCUUCCGAUAUAGCAUUGUCUUUUCCUGACAAAAGAUCCCCUUACAACACAACUGCACUUCUAAUGUAAAACUGCUCAAUGUGCAUUACUGACAAAGGGUAUUUGAAACACAAAACUGUAUUACUGACAAAACAUUUCUGAUGAACUUUCUUUAUUUUUUUCUGACCUAGUCUACAAUAUGGAUUAAACCUUGCGAUAUAGACAUACAACAUUGUAUUUUCCUGACAAACGAUUCUUAUAAACAAAACUGCACUUCUGAUUCAAAACUGAAUUCUUCACCAAGUACUAGUAUAUGGUAAAACUACAUGCUUGACAAAACAAAUUCUGAUAUUUUUUGCUUCUGUGACACAACAAAUGACUCCUGAGAAAACAGUUCUGUGACAGAACUCUACAAAAUCCCUGACAUAUCCUUUCCUAUUCCAAAGAAACGUUCUAUGCACUGUACCAUGAAGGUUACAAAAUCUUGAAUCAGCAAAUAUAUAAUUCAGGGUACUGGUCAAAACAACAUUUAAUUCCAUAUACUGAGGUGUGUUCGUGUUUCACAGAUAUAUCAAUAGGAAUUUAUAAAAAUUUCAUUACUAGACUGUGAGAUGUAAGAAAUGUAUUAGAAUUGUGAACAUCACGUGUUGUUUAACUGUUAAUUUAACAUGGCGGCCGCCGAACUCUCUCUUCUCUCUUUCUGUUUUUAGUUUCUCUCACUUUUCUUUUUUUCUGUUUUUUACAAGGGGAACGAUUUUGUUGAUGUACAUAGUGAUUACACGUCAUGUAUUGAGGCAAAAAGGACGAAUCUUAACACAAACUCGAAAUAAAUUGUUAUAAAAUUGAA